GUGGGGAAUAUUGCGCAAUGGGCGAAAGCCUGACGCAGCGACGCCGCGUGAGGGAUGAAGGCCUUCGGGUUGUAAACCUCUUUCAGCAGGGAAGAAGCGAAAGUGACGGUACCUGCAGAAGAAGCACCGGCUAACUACGUGCCAGCAGCCGCGGUAAUACGUAGGGUGCAAGCGUUGUCCGGAAUUAUUGGGCGUAAAGAGCUCGUAGGCGGUCUGUCGCGUCGGAUGUGAAAACCCAGGGCUCAACCCUGGGCCUGCAUUCGAUACGGGCAGACUAGAGUUCGGUAGGGGAGACUGGAAUUCCUGGUGUAGCGGUGAAAUGCGCAGAUAUCAGGAGGAACACCGGUGGCGAAGGCGGGUCUCUGGGCCGAAACUGACGCUGAGGAGCGAAAGCGUGGGGAGCAAACAGGAUUAGAUACCCUUGUAGUCC
rnacentral:rRNA from 1 species